rnacentral:rRNA from 1 species
GGGGGGGGGGGGGGGGGGGCGGGGGGGGGGCGGGGCGGGGGGGGGGGCGGGGGUGGGGGGGGGGGCUCGGGUGGGGAGCGGGGGAGGAACACGUGAGUAACCUGCCCUUGACUUUGGGAUAGCUUCAGGAAACUGGGGCUAAUACCGGAUAGGAGCUCCUGCUGCAUGGUGGGGGUUGGACAGUUUCGGCGGUUGGGGAUGGACUCGCGGCUUCUCAGCUUGUUGGUGGGGUAGUGGCUUACCAAGGCUUUGACGGGUAGCCGGCCUGAGAGGGUGACCGGCCACAUUGGGACUGAGAUACGGCCCAGACUCCUACGGGAGGCAGCAGUGGGGAAGAUUGCACAAUGGGCGGAAGCCUGAUGCAGCAACGCCGCGUGCGGGAUGACGGCCUUCGGGUUGUAAACCGCUUUCGCCUGUGACGAGGCGUGAGUGACGGUAAUGGGUAAAGAAGCACCGGCUAACUACGUG